GACGAACGCUGGCGGCGUGCCUAAUACAUGCAAGUUGAGCGCUGAAGGUUGGUACUUGUACCAACUGGAUGAGCAGCGAACGGGUGAGUAACGCGUGGGGAAUCUGCCUUUGAGCGGGGGACAACAGUUGGAAACGAAUGCUAAUACCGCAUAAAAACUUUAAACACAAGUUUUAAGUUUGAAAGAUGCAAUUGCAUCACUCAAAGAUGAUCCCGCGUUGUAUUAGCUAGUUGGUGAGGUAAAGGCUCACCAAGGCGAUGAUACAUAGCCGACCUGAGAGGGUGAUCGGCCACAUUGGGACUGAGACACGGCCCAAACGCCUACGGGAGGCAGCAGUAGGGAAUCUUCGGCAAUGGACGAAAGUCUGACCGAGCAACGCCGCGUGAGUGAAGAAGGUUUUCGGAUCGUAAAACUCUGUUGGUAGAGAAGAACGUUGGUGAGAGUGGAAAGCUCAUCAAGUGACGGUAACUACCCAGAAAGGGACGGCUAACUACGUG
rnacentral:rRNA from 1 species